AUUGAACGCUGGCGGCAUGCUUUACACAUGCAAGUCGAACGGCAGCGGGGAGGAGCUUGCUUCUCUGCCGGCGAGUGGCGAACGGGUGAGUAAUACAUCGGAACGUGUCGAGAAGAGGGGGAUAACCACCCGAAAGGGUGGCUAAUACUGCAUAAAUUCUGAGGAAGAAAGCUGGGGACCUAGGAAUAGGCCUAGCGCUUUUUGAGCGGCCGAUGUCGGAUUAGCUAGUUGGUGAGGUAAAGGCUCACCAAGGCGAAGAUCUGUAGCGGGUCUGAGAGGAUGAUCCGCCACACUGGGACUGAGACACGGCCCAGACUCCUACGGGAGGCAGCAGUGGGGAAUUUUGGACAAUGGGGGCAACCCUGAUCCAGCCAUGCCGCGUGUAUGAAGAAGGCCUUAGGGUUGUAAAGUACUUUUGUUAGGGAAGAAAAGUCAGCUGUGAAUAAUGGCUGAUACUGACGGUACCUAAAGAAUAAGCACCGGCUAACUACGUG
rnacentral:rRNA from 1 species